AAAACAAACAAAACACAACCUAACCUUCCAACAUUUGCCUCAAGGAUUUUUAAUGAAACAUGACGUGUUAAAAAUCAUAAUUCCCACAGAUUUUGGUCAUCCUUACACUUGAGCACAUACUUAAUCACAGUCACCACUUACUAGUUCACAAUUAACCAAUUAAAACAAUGUUUUGAAUGUAGUAACAUGCCUUAGAGAGUUUGCUCAAUUCCUUACAAGAUACUCUCUAUUUUCACACAAAUUUUCUGACUACACACCCUACACUAGCAUAUGUGAGAAGAUUAAUGUAAACACGAAAGACUAGGACUCACAUAUGUUAUAACAAAGAAAGUAAUUUUCUGGAGUUAUUAAGCAUGUUUAAAUAUGAUCUCAUGAAUGGAAUGCUGCUACCUAGAUGCGAGAACCAGUGACGCCAUAUGCUCAUACCAAUUUCAAACUCCACAAAUUGAAACACACAACACUCAAGAUUGAAGUCAAGGGUUGUAACAGGACUUGGGGGUAAUGGCUAAUAAAGAAAGGAUAGGAAUAACAAACGUUCUUAAAGCGAUAGCAAGCAAAGCAAUGAAAUAGACACUUGGAAUUCACUUUAGAAUGCAGAAUCAACUUUUAAAUACAAAGGGAAGAUUUAUGCAACACUUAGGGCCGAAUUUAAUGUUUUGGACCCUUUUUUAACAAAUUUUUUUCUUUUCACUCUUUUUUUUUUCUACCCGUGCCUUAUUAAGGACUUUGGCACACACACACACACAAGAAUCACUUCCCCCACACUUGCUUUCUGCAAUGCAUUGAUAAAAAAGGAGUUCAUUUUAAGUCAUGCUUUACUAUGCUUCAAGAACAUGGGUAUGGAUGGUCCUAAAACUAGGCUAGGUAAGGAUAGUGUUGAUUAACAAAGAACAUAGGCUUAACAAGGCUCAACGGGGUUAAACUUAAACACAUAAUGA
rnacentral:lncRNA from 1 species